rnacentral:misc_RNA from 1 species
UGCGGCUGGAUCCCCUCCUUUCUGGAGCAGCGAGUAACUCAGGCACCAACGCUGAGCGAAAGCUCUCAGAAGUCGCCCGCACUGCCUAUCCAUAGCUCACAUUGAUUCUGCUCUUUGACAAUCGAAGGACGGAUGUGUUGCUGUAAGGGAAUCCAAACCGUAGUUCCAGCCGGGCCGCCGCCAAGCGGUUCGGUGUAGUGCCAAUAGAUCGAGAUCAAACGCAAUAAGGCACACGGUGGAUGCCUUGGCAUCGAGAGGCGAUGAAGGACGUGGUAAGCUGCGAUAAGCCUGGGGGAGCUGCAUACGAGCUGUGAUCUCAGGAUGUCCGAAUGGGGAAACCCGG